GAAGAAGUUAUACAAGGACACUCUCAAGGUCUUUCUGAAGAACUUUGGCAUCAAUCGUGAAACAUGGGACAUGCUGGCAAAGGACCACCCAGCAUCAAAGAAGGUGAACCAGAAUGAGAGUAGUUCAAAAGAAAGCUGCCAGCAGCUAUGUGGCCGUGCCUCCAGUGUUCGGGGAAGAACAUUUUUUGAGCAAGCUGGAAGAAGUUACACUGACUCUUGGAACACCCUGUAUAGAAGAAAGAUUGGAUUAGUGGAA